CAGGGCUGAGACUGAAGGUGUAGAACGGACCACCUACUCUACGCAGGACAGUCAUAAAGGGCCAGACAUGUAAGCUGAAGCUGUUGGUAGAGCUUGGAGAAGAGCAACUCAAGGUUUUAAAACCUGUAUGCCCUUGAUCCUACUCCUCCCUCCACUAUUGCACCUCCUUGGAAAUCUGAGAGACAUUCAUGUCCCAGGAGUGACCAGCAUGAAGAGAGCUGAAACUCAGCCCCAUUGCACAGCUGGCUCCCAAGGAUCUAUCAUGGGAUAAGGCAGUGAAAAGUCCAUGUAUGAGUCUUUCUUCUGAUGCCAGGGCCAUUGAGGAGACAGUGCUGUACAUGGUGCAUCUAUAAGAAGCACCCAGCUAACUUCUCUACCCUGGAGGAUCAGGUGAAAGAAAAACAUCAGAUGGGAAGAAAAGUGGAGAGAAUGAUUGAGCCUGGAACCUCAGCAUGGCAUUAUCCACAUGGACUGUUUUAUCAGUAUGCCUUUUUGUAACCCCAGAUAAGGGAAAACUGUAGCCAGAAAAAGAUGAAAAUGGGGAAAUUCAACCAUUGCAGGCAUUUAUUCUUAUCUUUUGUUUUUAUAAAGAAU
rnacentral:lncRNA from 1 species